AAUUAAUAAAUAAUAAUAGUUUUUGUUUACAUUCACAAAUCCAAUAUCUACUACCACCGUUUGCAAGAAUGUUAUCAACCCAAGCUGGGGUUAGUUUGUUUAUUUUUCAUUCGUUUUUGGAGUAAUGUUUUGACUCCUUGGCUCUGAAAUUAAGCCACAAAAAAAAAAAGCUACCAUUCCAUAAAGAAACCUACUCCACAAUUCCACGGCUCGCAAUACUCCCACAAACACUGGGGCUCUCCUCCUACUGUGCUCUUGCUGCAGUGCAGACUGCUGCCACCUGCCCUCAAAGAAGAAAUAUUACAGUUCACGUUUGGAAGACAUCUCACCACACUAUGGAUUUAAUCCUGGUUAAGUAUGUUGCCUGUGGCACCCUUAAACACUUGCAAUUUACUGACGUCAUGUCUCACAUGCAUGCCUAACAUUGGACCUGGAUGUGGAUGAGGAGGAAGCAAAUAGAAAAACACAUGAGGUUUUUUCAGCACUUCAUAGUUUUUUGACAUCGAAAUAAUUUCUUCUAUGCCAUUGUCAGUGUAUCACCUCCACACUUCCCAGAGCUACAAAUCUAAACUCAUGGUCUAUCUUGGCCCUGGUAUUUUGAUUCCAUUCUGACCACCAGGGAUCUGAAUGCUGCUCAGCUCCAUGCAAGAUAACAUAUUUAUCAGCAUAUGACACGCACAUUUAACUCCUGAAAAGCUUUCUGUUAAAGACGGAAGAAAGAGUGAAGAUAAUGUUGAAGAUAAAGUUCUUAAAGGGUCCCAGUAGGUUGCAGAUCAUGCACUUACCCUGAGGAGGAGCAAUGGUCCUGCCAGAAGCCGAUGCUGGAGGGUCUUGAAUGCAGCUUUCUGUUAAAGACGGAAGAAAGAGUGAAGAGUCAAGCUCUAUGAUUUUGACCCCUGCUGCUGAAUCCAGGGACAUCCUCUGCCAGAAGGACAUCUCUUAGCUCCGCCUCCCACUCUCGCAACUU